UCUCCGUAGGUGAACCAGCGGAGGGAUCAUUACUGAAUUUUCAAUAUCUUAUAACUGUGCUAACGAACCAUGUGGUUGCCUUGGCGGUCCACUCUCCACCUGUCCACGUACUGUGGGUAUCAGAUCGUGCCGCGUCCUUUUUUACCGCAGCGCGUGUAGCGUGUCUGUAAAACCAUUUAUCACAAACACUAAAAAGUAUCAGAGUUUGUGUUACGAUGUAACACAUCUAUAUACAGCUUUCAGCAACGGAGCUCUUCACUCUCUCAUCGAUGAAGAACG
rnacentral:misc_RNA from 1 species